rnacentral:rRNA from 1 species
ACAGGUGCUGCAUGGCUGUCGUCAGCUCGUGUCGUGAGGAUGUGGUUAAGUCCGCAACGAGCGCAACCCUUGUCAUUAGUUGCCAUCAUUUAGUUGGGCACUCUAAUGAGACUGCCGGUGACAAACCGGGAGGAAGGUGGGGAUGACGUCAAGUCCUCAUGGCCCUUAUGGGUAGGGCUUCACACGCCAUACAAUGGUCGGUACAGAGGGUUGCCAAGCCGCGAGGUGGAGCCAAUCCCUUAAAGCCGAUCGUAGUCCGGAUCGUAGUCUGCAACUCGACUACGUGAAGUCGGAAUCGCUAGUAAUCGCAGAUCAGCAUGCUGCGGUGAAUACGUUCCCGGGUCUU